rnacentral:piRNA from 1 species
UGACACACGGGACAUGCGACAGAGAAAA